GACGAACGCUGGCGGCGUGCUUAACACAUGCAAGUCGAACGGAAAGGCCCUGCUUUUGUGGGGUGCUCGAGUGGCGAACGGGUGAGUAACACGUGAGUAACCUGCCCUUGACUUUGGGAUAACUUCAGGAAACUGGGGCUAAUACCGGAUAGGAGCUCCUGCUGCAUGGUGGGGGUUGGAAAGUUUCGGCGGUUGGGGAUGGACUCGCGGCUUAUCAGCUUGUUGGUGGGGUAGUGGCUUACCAAGGCUUUGACGGGUAGCCGGCCUGAGAGGGUGACCGGCCACAUUGGGACUGAGAUACGGCCAAGCCUCCUACGGGAGGAAGCAGGGGGGAAUAUGGCACAAGGGGCGGAGGCCUGAUGCAGCAACGCCGGGUGCGGGAUGACGGCCUCCGGUUUGUAAACCGCUUUCGCCUGUGACGAAGGGGGAGGGACGGUAAUGGGUAAAAAAGCACCGGCUAACUACGUG
rnacentral:rRNA from 1 species